rnacentral:rRNA from 1 species
GAUGAACGCUGGCGGCGUGCCUAAUACAUGCAAGUCGAGCGAACAGAUGAGGAGCUUGCUCCUCUGACGUUAGCGGCGGACGGGUGCGUAACACGUGGAUAACCUACCUAUAAGACUGGGAUAACUUCGGGAAACCGGAGCUAAUACCGGAUAAUAUAUUGAACCGCAUGGUUCAAUAGUGAAAGACGGUUUUGCUGUCACUUAUAGAUGGAUCCGCGCCGCAUUAGCUAGUUGGUAAGGUAACGGCUUACCAAGGCGACGAUGCGUAGCCGACCUGAGAGGGUGAUCGGCCACACUGGAACUGAGACACGGUCCAGACUCCUACGGGAGGCAGCAGUAGGGAAUCUUCCGCAAUGGGCGAAAGCCUGACGGAGCAACGCCGCGUGAGUGAUGAAGGUCUUCGGAUCGUAAAACUCUGUUAUUAGGGAAGAACAAAUGUGUAAGUAACUAUGCACGUCUUGACGGUACCUAAGCAGAAAGCCACGGCUAACUACGU